UUGUAACCUGGGAAAGGAUCAUGUAUCUGUUCUCGGUUCAUCAUAUUACCGCUUUUUAAGCUGAUUCUGUGUCAUAAAAGUUCUCCACCUAAGUCGUGAAGUAAUGCUUUCAUUGCUUUGUAAGUACUGGCAUGUUUUAUCUAGAAUCGUGUUAAAUCAUUGGUAGAACUUGCUCCAGAAUCGUGUAAUGUCCAUGUAUUUGAGAGGUCGCAAUUUGUCGUCAUAAUAGCUUAAAUGUUAGACAUUCUAUCUGGUUGUUGUAAUUGUAUCCUUAUAUCAAGUCAUGUGGUUUCUGGAACGGAGUCUUUAUAGAUUUGAGCAGAGGUCAGGGAAUUACGCCUUUCAGCUCUAUUGUGCGGUGACUUAGCUAAGCUUGCUCUAUGCAUAUGCAAAAAAUUAAUCUUUGAGCCCCACUUGUCAACUAAAAAUUGAAUAACACAUGUGAUAAAACAAUGAAAGUUUGCUUGUAUAAUUGCAGCUUUGUCAUAUUAAGGAUGAAUUUGGAGAUCUGAUUAUCAUGCUUGCAGUUUUCUAUUUGGGAAAGUAUAAGGGAUGUGAUGUGUAGGUGGGAUUGAUGUAAGUGCACAUAUGAACAUUGCUGUAAUUGCUUGGUUCUUUAUCAAUAUGUCUUCUCGUACCUUUCGCCUAGGUCUCAUAUUUCUCUCCUUUUUCAAGUAACUGAUCUUACUUUUCAAUCAUGUAACUGAUCUUUACUUUUCAAUCUUCUUUGUUAUACUUAUAGGUAUCAUAUUUCUCUCUUUUUCUUUUUAAAUGUACGUCUUGUCCAGUUUUUGCUUGUUGGGAGUCCUGGGGCUGGGCCAGUGUAUGUAUACUGUGUACCAUAGUAUAAUUAUACAUAUAUACAUGUGUAUUUGUGCUGUUUAUUUAAGUUCAGCCCUCUGAAUUCAAUUCUUGACAUGCCCUGAUCCUAUGCAUGUGUUUGUUAUCUUCUACUACAUUCUAAAGAGGUAGGAUAUGCAAUAAUCCGUAUUAAUUUGUUUGAACGAUGAUUUUAGUUGAUUAUGCCUUAUGAUAUGCAAUUACAAUUUGAGCAGUAUCUUAACGUUUGGCAAAUUGUUGGUCUGCAUUUGUGAUAUUUUGGUCCAUCUGGACGCACGAAAAUCUGGGCAGGAUGCAUGUGCCUAGUUAAUGUAAAGCAUGACCAUGGGUUGGUAGGAGCAUUUAAAUGUAUCAUAAAUGAGAGUAUUUUCUUGAUGCUUUAUUGAAUUUAUUUGAAGUAUUUGGCUAACAUUUGUCAAUGAAGUGAGGAAUCAAAGCAUUUAUAUUGAACUGAAUAAAUUGCUUUAAUUGGUGUCAGAGAUUUGCUUUUGUCUUGGGCAGCUCUUGAUCAUUGUGUGCUGCAUUGUUCAGUAGAAUUGAUGAUUAGUGAGGUUGUUGGUGGUAACAUGGAACUAUAUAUAAUACGGAAUUCUAUGUGUUUGGAAUAAUUUGCGCAUUAUUUUGUAGUAGACACGAUUUGGCGUUGUAGGUCUAGCUCUCAACUGGCUUAUUCUUCUCGUCGAGACCUUAAAGCUCAAUCUUUGAUUUAUUGAAAUAGUAAAAUGUUUAAACGACAAAUUUAUUGAUUUAUUUUGUAUAAAAUAAAAAACGUGACCAAACGGGCGAAUUCUGGGGCGAAAUUAAUUUUAAAAAAUCAAAAAAUUAGAUGCUCCUUAUUUUGUCAAAAUCUGAAAGUGAUGUCGUAAUUAGAAUUUGGUCGAAAGUUCAUGAUUUUAAUUU
rnacentral:lncRNA from 1 species